rnacentral:rRNA from 1 species
AAGUCGUAACAAGGUCUCCGUUGGUGAACCAGCGGAGGGAUCAUUACUGAGUGCAAACUCUCCAACCAUUGUUUAUCUACCUAUUUUGCUUCUCCGGCAGGCGGUUCCAGGGAGGGACCAAGCCUAUAGCUAGCCUAAGCACCUGCCGGGGGGGUACCUACUGCUCUAUAUUAUACUGUCUGAGAAAACAAAAAAAUAUCAAAAUUUUCAAUUGUGGAUCUCUUGGUUCUGGCAUCGAUGAAGAACGCAGCGAAAUGCGAUAAGUAAUGUGAAUUGCAGAAUUCAGCGAACCAUCGAAUCUUUGAACGCACAUUGCGCCCAUUAGUAUUCUAUUGGGCAUGCCUGUUCAAGCGUCAUUUCAACUCUCAGGCUUCGGUCUGGUGCUAGGGCAUUGCACUGCAAGCCCUGAAAAAUAGUGGCGGACUCACUGAAAUCCGAGCGUAGUAAUUUCUCUCGCUAUGGACUUUUGGUGAUGCUCCUGCCGUAAAACCCCCCCAUAUUACAAGGUUGACCUCGGAUCAGGUAGGAAUACCCGCUGAACUUA